ensembl:lncRNA
UGAUUGCUCGCGCGAGGCUUGGCACAAAAGUGAUCUCGCGCGAACAGCCCUGCUGCGGUACUGAGGUAAACAGAAGAAAACUGCGGAUCCGCUUCGGACUUGGGUUUAAAGCGAUGGACGCGUUGGACAUGUUAUUACAGCAAACAGACUAUCACAAUUUUGAGAGAGAGUGAACAUCUUGGUUCUCAGGGAGGUUACUACCAAAUCUGUCUCUAUGAAGCUGCGGCGCAGGACAGUCCUGAGAAGCCGACGGCUUCGACAGCGAGAACAUGUGAAGGACUCUGAGAGCAUCUCUGUGGUGUUGAGGGACGCUGACUCUAGUCAGUCAGACAGUGUGGAAGAAAUAAAAGAUCAGGUGUCUGUUCUUCGUGAUAUGGAGCGGCCGGUAAGGAAGAGUAGAGCUGGUUCAUCAUGUCGCGUGAGAAAAGAAGGCGAGAGGCCGCUUUCUGAUGUGGAAGCACAACCUGGGACGGUUCAGAAGAUCUCCCUGGCUCCAGUAAGAUGCAGAGAGUGCGAGAGACUUUUCGCAAAGAUGAGAAAACAUCCCACCCCGGAAAAGAAAAGCAGAGAUACAGAUCCAGCAUCUUUAUCUUGUGAUGUGUGGGUUCUGCUUAAGAAGUGGCACCCUCAGAGACACCGUCAUCGAGAGAAGGGAUUAUUGUGGACGAGCCUGAGUCGGAUCAGGAAGCUGUUAGCAGGAGGCUCCGACUUUGCAGCUGUCAACAGAACAGAAGCAAACUGCUCCAGACCUCAUGUAUUUCAGCAGAGGAAUUUACGGCGCUGCAAGUAUCUGCUUUCCAUUCAGACCAACCGGUCCAUUACCAAAGCAAAGCCACGGCAUCGUAAGAGGUCACGAUCUGUGGUCUGGCCACCCCUCGCUGGCUGGACAUCUUCAGUGAAAAGGAAGCCUUCUUUGAACAACACAUUUUCUCAGCAGCUUUCUCCUCUCAACCUUAGUGUUAGGAUGACACAGGAGGACAAACUGUUUGUAGAUGAUAAGAUUUCAAGAUUAAAUGCAGAUUUGAAGCAGAACUCAGAUGCCUCCAGCGAACAGAGGACGACUAAUGUCCGUGGCAAACUGAACAAGCAGGAAGUGUUUGAUGGCAUAGAAGGAACGCGGCGGGUGCUGAAGUUUGAUGAAACGCCUGAAACUGUUGCUGUGGAAGCUGCGGAACAGAGGAAAAGCCCUCGGCAGAAGCACAAACGUGGAGUGAUUCGUGAAGCUCAGAAUGGUUUCCAGAAUGAGCAGCAGGAGGAGAUUUCUGAGGAUUCGGAUGGGUUCAGGACUCCCACAGAUCUGUUCAGCGUGAAGCCUAAAAUGAAAGGAGGGAACCAGAAGAAAGUCUCUGCCUCUGGUGUAACAAAACCUGCCGCUCAGAAGCCCAACUUCAUGUCCAUGUUAGCCACUCUGGUGAAGAAUCAGAAUCAGAUUAUUAAAGAGUCCUGCAAAUGAGUCUCUAUGAAAGUCCUGCAAUUAGAUUUGUGUGUCAUUUUGUAUAAAUGAAGAGACAUGCAUCGUUGCUGUUGAGAUUUGUUUUAUUGUGUAA